GAUGAAGAACGUAGCGAAAUGCGAUACUUGGUGUGAAUUGCAGAAUCCCGUGAACCAUCGAGUCUUUGAACGCAAGUUGCGCCUCAAGCCAUUAGGUUGAGGGCACGUCUGCCUGGGCGUCACAGAUCGUUGCCUGAUGCCAGUUUCCUCGUGAUGGGUGACUGUGCAGGGCGAAUGAUGGCUUCCCGUGAGCAUUGUUGCCUCAUGGUUGGUUGAAAAUUGAGUCCUUGGUAGGGAGCGCCGUGAUAGAUGGUGGUUGAGUGACGAACGAGACCCAAUCAUGUGAGACCCCUACCGAAUUUGGCCUUCAUGACCCACAUGCGUCUUUGGAACGCUCAUGACGAGACCUCAGGUCAGGCGGGGCUACCCGCUGAGUUUAAGCAUAUCAAUAAGCGGAGGA
rnacentral:misc_RNA from 1 species